UACGUAGGGUGCGAGCGUUAAUCGGAAUUACUGGGCGUAAAGCGUGCGCAGGCGGUUCGUUAAGUUCGAUGUGAAAGCCCCGGGCUCAACCUGGGAAUUGCAUUGGAAACUGGCGGGCUGGAGUGUGGCAGAGGGAGGUGGAAUUCCACGUGUAGCAGUGAAAUGCGUAGAGAUGUGGAGGAACACCGAUGGCGAAGGCAGCCUCCUGGGCCAGCACUGACGCUCAUGCACGAAAGCGUGGGGAGCAAACAGG
rnacentral:rRNA from 1 species